rnacentral:lncRNA from 1 species
ACACACUGUCCUCCCCGGGGUACACACACUGUCCUCCCCGGGUGUACACGCUGUCCUCCCCGGGGUACACACACUGUCCUCCCCGGGUGUACACACUGUCCUCCCCGGGUGCACACGCUGUCCUCUCCGGGUGCACACACUGUCCUCCCCGGGUGCACACGCUGUCCUCCCCGGGUGCACACACUGUCCUCUCCGGGUGCACACGCUGUCCUCCCCGGGUACACACGCUGCCCGCCCCGGGGUGCACACGCUGUCCUCCCCGGGGUACACACACUGUCCUCCCCGGGUGUACACGCUGUCCUCCCCGGGUGCACACACUGUCCUCUCCGGGUGCACACACUGUCCUCCCCGGGUGUACACACUGUCCUCCCCGGGGUACACACACUGUCCUCCCCGGGUGUACACGCUGUCCUCCCCGGGGUACACACACUGUCCUCCCCGGGUGUACACACUGUCCUCCCCGGGUGCACACACUGUCCUCUCCGGGUGCACACACUGUCCUCCCCGGGUGCACACGCUGUCCUCCCCGGGUGCACACACUGUCCUCCCCGGGUGCACACGCUGUCCUCUCCGGGUGCACACGCUGUCCUCCCCGGGUGCACACGCUGUCCUCUCCGGGUACACACACUGUCCUCUCUGGGUGCACACGCUGUCCUCCCCGGGUACACACACUGUCCUCCCCGGGUACACACACUGUCCUCCCCGGGUGUACACGCUGUCCUCUCCGGGUGCACACACUGCCCGACCUCAGAUGCUCUCGGCCGCCACCCUGGCUCCACCCUGGCUCCCGGGGCAAAACCGGCAGAAAGCGCUAGGUCAUUCUUCACGGGAAAGGCCUGUGAACCCUGCUACGGAUGCAGCUCAGCUGGGCAGGGAGGCAGGGGCCCUCAGACCGAAGUCGGGAUGGGGGACAAGAUGUGGGGGCCACAUCCUCCGUGUCCCUCACAGAGCACCCAGCCUUUGAGAGUCCCAGAGCUUGCCCACCAACCCCUCAAAGGCAACUGA